AUGAUUUCUUCGGAAUGAACUUAAGUGGAUUAGUGGCGAACGGGUGAGUAACACGUGAGUAACCUGCCUUACACAAGGGGAUAGCCUCUGGAAACGGAGAAUAAUACCCUAUAAAGUCUAAUCAGCCCAUGCUGGAAAGACCAAAGAUUUAUCGGUGUAAGAUGGACUUGCGUCUGAUUAGCUAGUUGGUGAGAUAAAAGCUCACCAAGGCGACGAUCAGUAGCCGGCUUGAGAGAGUGUACGGCCACAUUGGGACUGAGACACGGCCCAAACUCCUACGGGAGGCAGCAGUGGGGAAUUUUGCACAAUGGGGGAAACCCUGAUGCAGCGACGCCGCGUGAUUUAGAAGGCCUUCGGGUUGUAAAAAUCUUUUUUACGGGAUGAAAAUGACAGUACCGUAAGAAUAAGGUCCGGCUAAAUACGUGCCAGCAGCCGCGGUAAUACGUAUGGACCGAGCGUUGUCCGGAAUCAUUGGGCGUAAAGGGUACGUAGGCGGCCUAGUAAGUUAGAAGUUAAAGAAUAUAGCUCAACUAUAUAAAGCUUUUAAAACUGCUAGGCUUGAGAGAUGGAAGGGAAAGUGGAAUUCCUAGUGUAGCGGUGAAAUGCGCAGAUAUUAGGAAGAAUACCGGUGGCGAAGGCGACUUUCUGGUCAUCAUCUGACGCUGAGGUACGAAAGCGUGGGUAGCAAACAGGAUUAGAUACCCUGGUAGUCCACGCUGUAAACGAUGAGUGUUAGGUUCUUGGAAUAAUCUGGGAGCCGCAGCUAACGCAUUAAACACUCCGCCUGGGGAGUA
rnacentral:rRNA from 1 species